CAAUAAACCAGUAUAAAAUACUUAGAAAUAAGCUCUUGUACUCUCUCCGGGCAUCACUCCAAAAAGAGAGAAGAAGCCGGUAGCUCUAAAAACAGUUUGUCUAUGCCAAUGGCAUCCUCCUCUUCUGCCACCGGCACAAAUCUCGAUCUCAUGAAAAAGGUUAGAAGUCAUGAAGUAGCAAUAGCAGAGCUCAGUAAUCUUUCAUCGUCUCGUACUGUCUAUCAAAAAAAUGGGAACCUUUUUUUCCGUACAACUGCCCAGAAAGCAACAGCUUCUGAACAAAAACAACUUGACUCGGCCAAAGCUAAGCUAGAAGGGUGAAUUAUGCUUGAUUUCACCUCUGUUGCUUUGAAACUGGUCCUCAACCAUGCUGCUUAAAAAGCUUUCUGUAGUGCUGACAUCUGUGGUUACAGCUUGCUGGCUAUUCAAGUUUUAAGUCUCAUUCAAGAGCUGCGAAAUGUCUCUGAACUCUUGGAAUUUGCAGAUGGGAACUGUUACUGGUAGUUGUUAGCUACAAUUGUUAAGUAACAGAACAAGACAUGACCAUGUAUUUAGACCUUCAUCGAUGAAACAUUAGAGUAUUCAAUCCUCCCAAGUGCCAGUUUUUCUUCGUAUGUUUUAGUGGCCUCUCCAUUUCUUGAAUAUGCUUUUUGGUAUUAACUAAAUGUUUGAUUGCGAAUAAUUGAUUGUCAUGCCAAUCCGCAAAAGUAUGUGUAUAUCAAAGACAUCAAACUCCUGAUUAUGAUCCUCGCAGGCUGUUGCUUCAACACCUACAUAUUCUUUGGGAAACACACUUGUAAAUUUUUUUCACCCCUCGUGUUGAUACCAGAGUAUCAUCCUUGAAUGAUCCAUGUUUACCAAUCUGAAAAUCCCUGGAGAAACAUCAUGUAAUCUCAUGGAGACUUUUUUUUUCUAUAAAGAUUGUCAAUCUUAAUUUUCUUGUAGAGUUCCUUAAAAAAAAUUCCCCUGUUCUCAUCCUGUAAGGGAAGUUGCACGCAGUAAUCUGAGGAAGUCUUGUUGCGUUCUUUGCAAUCCUGAUUCUUUUUAUUACUCAAGGCGAAUCCAGUACUGGAAGCCAGUGUUAAGCAGGGGCGAAAAGAAUCAACCUUGGCAGAGAAGCGAGAUGGCUAAUAUUUAAAACCUCUUGUGCAGUAAUAAAGAAAGAAAAAGCAAUUAAAAUCAGGUUACUGUAGAAGCACCCUGAGUGACAAACAAUAUAAACCAACUACAUAAAGCUCACCAAGUUGUGGCAAAGUUAUCAUCCUGAUUAUUAAGAAGUAAACUGAUUACUGGCAACAUAUUUCAAAAAAAAAAAAA